AACGCGAAGAACCUUACCCAGGUUUGAAAUCCUGCGAAUUUCUCCGAAAGGAGAGAGUGCUUUAUUGAGCGCAGUGACAGGUGUUGCAUGGCCGUCGUCAGCUCGUGUCGUGAGAUGUUUGGUUAAGUCCAUCAACGAGCGCAACCCUUAUGUUUAGUUGAAUUUCUCUAAACAGACUGCCCUGGUAACAGGGAGGAAGGAGGGGAUGAUGUCAGGUCAGUAUUACCCUUACAUCUGGGGCUACAGACACGCUACAAUGGCCGGUACAAAGGGCAGCCAAGUCGCGAGACGGAGCAAAUCCCAUCAAAGCCGGUCUCAGUUCGGAUAGUAGGCUGAAACUCGCCUGCUUGAAGCUGGAAUCGCUAGUAACGGUAAGUCAGCACAUUACCGUGAAUACGUUCCCGGGCCUUGUACACACCGAC
rnacentral:rRNA from 1 species